CCCGAACUGGGAAUUGAACUGCGAUCUCCUGGAUUUUAGGCUGACUCUCAACUGCUGAGCCACUCCCAGCUGGGCAGAAACCAUAAUUCUUAGAGGAUUAAUAAAAUCCCUCUGUAUUUUGUAUGCACAUUUCGUAUGCAGUGUUGCUUUAUGUCACACUGCAGUUUUAUCACUGUUCUUUUCUUUUCUUUUCUUUGAGGUUUUUUGGGCUAAUUGUAAGUAUUCUUCAAAUACUGCUUUCUCCCUCCAGAUGACUCAUUUUUUAAAAUGGCCAACUGUGAACAUUUUAGAACAGUAUUAUGAGGGGCAUUUGCAACAGAAACACUAAAAAGUUCUUUUAAAAUACAUAUUUUGAGACUUCACCUCAGGUCUUUCAGUCUACAGGAGAUAUAAUUAUGUUUUUAAAAACGCCACAAGCAGUUCUGAUAGGGAAGCUACCACAUUGCAACUUUUCUAUUUUUCUUUCCCCUUUUUCUCUCUUUUAAAAUGAAUUAUAUAAGCAGUUUCUCUAGGCUAUUAAUCAUUAUUUAGUCAUUUAUGCAAAAUGAUUUCUACUUAAUUAAAUCCAAGGAUAUUUUAGGAAUGUGGAGAGUUUGUAACAGAACAGUUAAGUGAGCUUUACCUUAAUGUGUUUAAUUUGAAAGUAAUUUAUGAAACAAUUGAUGUUUUGGCAAAUCCAGUUUUAGAAGUUAUUUAUCUAUCUCUAAGGAUAACAAAGCUGAUGUAAUUUUAAAGUACAAUGCAGAUGAAGCUAGAAGUCUGAAAGCAUAUGGCGAGCUUCCAGAACAUGCUAAAAUCAAUGAAACGGAUACAUUUGGUCCUGGAGAUGAUGAUGAAAUCCAGUUUGAUGAUAUUGGAGAUGAUGAUGAAGACAUUGAUGAUAUCUAAAUUGAACCUAAUGUUUCAGAGUAUUAUUAGUUCUACAGUUUGGAUUUUGGCCAUCACCUAUUAAGAAGAAUGAAACUUCAGGAUGAAUGCAGUUUGCUAAUGCACACUGAUUUAUUUCCAUUGUUUUAAAGUAUUUAUUAUUAUAUAUCUUUAAAUAAAAUGUUAACACUUUACUCUUUUGAUCUUAUGGAACUUAGGGGUAAAAGACUACAAUUGUCUGCAGUUAAUAGGAAGAAGUGGGGGGAGAGAAUAAAUAAAAUGUUUUCCAGUUAUUGGGUGUUUUGACUGAAUUGCCUUAUGGUCAGUGGUAAGUUCAAAGCAGUUUUUUUUCAGGGUCUUUGUGUAUGUUUGUUACCUAGAUAUUCUCUUUGAUUUUUUGAUAACUUAAGGAAGUUAGAAAUCUACAUUUGAAGUUAGAAGGGGCUAUUUUUUAUAUUACUGUAGCUGUACUGUAUUUUUAUACUAUGAUACCAUUCUUUUCAUCAUUUUAUGUUGGCAUUAUAAAUAACUAGCAUUUACAAACUACAGAUUUUCAAACGUGGGUGUGAUUAGCAGUUUUUAAUUCUUAAGAUGAGUAGUUGCAAAAAUUUAUUGCUAGAUAAUAUGCAAUGAACUCAAAAUUGAAAGUACUGAUAUACUAGUCAACAGUGUUCAUUAAGUUGUAUAGAGUUUCUUAAAUAAUGCAACUUUUAAUGGCAAAAUGAGAAUAGUUUGUACUAUACAAAAAAGUUGUGUUAAAAUGCAUUAUUUUAUUGUCACAACUCAUGUGUUUGUAAGCUAUAGUUUUGGGCUUUAUGAACAAUUAAAUUACAACAUAUAAAUGAAAAAUUGAUUUGAUGAUAAACUGAUGUAAGGAAAAGGAUGGGACCACAGCUAAGAAAUAUAAUAAAAUGUCCAUUGGGUAUAUUUUGGCCUUA